rnacentral:lncRNA from 1 species
CGGGUGUUGAGCAAGAAACUGAUCUUCUGGAACAAGCUUGGCAUCAUCAAGUUUCUGUCUUUUUGGCUCUGGCUCAUCAGGAAGUGGUGGAGGAGCUUCUUCAGGUGGUGGCGGCGGAGGAAUUCCUUGAGGCAAAGGUGGAGGUGGCUGCAUCAUGGGCAUAGAAGGUGGUGGGACAGGAAGUGGGGCAAAGGGUCGAGGAACUGAGACGGCAGUAAAUUGAGAACCUGGUGGAGGUGGCACAGGCAUAUUAACUGGGUUCAUGGACAUUGUUGGAGACAUUUGUGGCGGUCGAUUCAUCAUCAUGGGUUGUUGGCCAGGUGCCAUCUGCAUAGGAGGUGGUGCCUGACGCAUUGACUGCAUUACUGGAACACCAAUUGGACGAG